rnacentral:rRNA from 1 species
GACGAACCGUGCGAACGUUGUUCGGAAUCACUGGGCUUAAAGGGCGCGUAGGCGGCUUGCCAAGUCAGGGGUGAAAUCUUUCGGCUCAACCGGAAAAGUGCCCUUGAUACUGGCGAGCUCGAGGGAGGUAGGGGUGUGUGGAACUUCUGGUGGAGCGGUGAAAUGCGUUGAUAUCAGAAGGAACGCCGGUGGCGAAAGCGACGCACUGGACCUCUUCUGACGCUGAGGCGCGAAAGCUAGGGGAGCAAACGGG